rnacentral:lncRNA from 1 species
CUUGGUGCUCCGGUACCGCUUGCCGUGCGAUAGCAGAGAGAAGUCUAUGACUAGGGUAGCUGGAGUCUUUGGCAAUUUUUAGGGCCUUCCUUUGACACCGCCUGGUAUAGAGGUCCUGGAUGGCAGGAAGCUUGGCCCCAGUGAUAUCCUGGCAGAGUUUCACCAACCAGUCAGCCACCCUGUGAGCCAGGAGCUGAAGGUGUUCAGGAGAAUCCCCCGUCCUCUCUCUCCUAAGGCUGCUCCAGAAGAGGAGGAUAGUAUUUUUCGGAAUCUGAUGACAGCACACCUCCUGUGAAGAGGCCGAGCUCUGAAGGGUGAGGUUGGAGGGUGCGGGUCGAGACAGACACAUUUUUUUCUCCAGAUUUUAAACUCAGAGCUAUUUUGGCCCAGCCCGAGUGGCCCGCCGGUCCUCCGGCCCAGCCCGAGUGGCCCGCCUGUCCUCCGGCCCAGCCCGAGUGGCCCGCCUGUCCUCCGGCCCAGCCCGAGUGGCCCGCAUGUCUUCCGGCCCAGCCAGAGUGGUCCGUCUGCCCGGUGCAGCUAUCGGCGCCACCGAAGUGGGCGACGCCGAAGGUGGAGCGAGGUCCACGUCCUGCACCUGAGCCACCUCCAGGAUAGGUGGGUUGGGGAGGGAGGGUGUAGCACAGUGCCGUCGGUGACAGCAGCCACCCUCCCUUCCCUCCCUUAUUGUUUAGGGGGAUAUUUUUUUGUUGUUUGGGGGGUUUGUUUUUUCUUUUAGGUGCAUUCCGGGGUCUGCACCUUGAGGGAGGGGUACUGUCACGUCCUGACCAGCAGAGGGCGUAAUUGUGUUAGUUUUGGUCAGGAUGUGGCAGGGGGUUUUGUGUAUGUGAAUGGUUGUGUUGGUGAUUGGGACUCCCAAUUGAAGGCAGGUGUGUUGAGUUGCCUUUGAUUGGGAGUCCUAUAUAGGAGUGUGUGUUUUUCUUUGGGGUUGUGGGUAGUUGUUUUUGCACUGCGUUUGAUAGCCUGCAAAACUGUUGCUGUCUUGUUUAUUGUUUUUCCGGUGGAUGCUUUACUCUUUUGAAUUAAAAUAUGAGUAUCCACAUUCCCACUGCGCCUUGGUCCAUUUUUGAAGACAGUUGUUACAGCUUAUUUGAGCUGUUCUUGCCAUAAUUUGGACUUGGUCUUUUACAAAAUAGGGCUAUCUUCUGUAUACC